GACAGAGGGUGCAAACGUUGUUCGGAAUUACUGGGCGUAAGGCGCGUGUAGGCGGCUAUGUAAGUCGGGCGUGAAAUCCCACGGCUCAACCGUGGAAGUGCACCCGAAACUGCGUAGCUAGAGUCCUGGAGAGGAAGGUGGAAUGCUUGGUGUAGAGGUGAAAUUCGUAGAUAUCAAGCGGAACACCGGUGGCGAAGGCGGCCUUCUGGACAGUGACUGACGCUGAGACGCGAAAGCGUGGGGAGCAAACAGG
rnacentral:rRNA from 1 species